CUACGGAGGGAUCUAGCGUUAUUCGGAAUUACUGGGCGUAAAGCGAGCGUAGGCGGAUUUGUAAGUUGGAGGUGAAAUCCCAGAGCUUAACUCUGGAACUGCCUUCAAAACUACAUUUCUUGAGUUUGGUAGAGGAGAGUGGAAUUCCUAGUGUAGAGGUGAAAUUCGUAGAUAUUAGGAGGAACACCAGUGGCGAAGGCGACUCUCUGGGCCAAUACUGACGCUGAGGUUCGAAAGCAUGGGUAGCGAACAGGAUUAGAAACCCUAGUAGUCC
rnacentral:rRNA from 1 species